UACGUAGGGCGCAAGCGUUGUCCGGAAUUAUUGGGCGUAAAGAGCUCGUAGGCGGCUUGUCACGUCGGGUGUGAAAGCCCGGGGCUUAACCCCGGGUCUGCAUUCGAUACGGGCGAGCUAGAGUGUGGUAGGGGAGAUCGGAAUUCCUGGUGUAGCGGUGAAAUGCGCAGAUAUCAGGAGGAACACCGGUGGCGAAGGCGGUUCUCUGGGCAGGGCCUGACGCUGAGGAGCGAAAGUGUGGGGAGCGAACAGG
rnacentral:rRNA from 1 species